UCCUCGGCCUACUUCUCCUCAGCCUCCUUCACCUCAGUCUCCUUCUCCUCGGCCUCCUUCACCCUGGCCUCCUUCACCUCGGCCUUCUCCUCAGUCUACUUCUCCUCAGCCUUCUCCUCAGCCUCCUUCACCUCAGUCUCCUUCUCCUCGGCCUCCUCCUCCGCCUUCACCUCAGCCAGUCGACGCCAACGGCUUUCACUAGGAAAAGCCCGCCCCUCGGGCUUAUGAAUAGUCAAUGAGGCCACAGGCGCCUCUUCAGGAAGAGCUCUCCAAGGCUUACCUCCCGCGGCUUGCCUUGCUCCGCCUCAUGAAUAUGCAAAAUAGGCCUGGAGACCGCCCACCCCCCUCGGCUGUGGGCGGGGCCGCAUUCUAGGGCCCUGAAGAACACGUGGGGAGCUCCAGGAGGCCUCGAGGGACCACAGGAAGGGCUGAGUGAGGGGGCGGGGCUUCUGCUCGGGGACGCCCACCGAGACCCAGGAGAAAGAAGAUGGUGUGAGUUCUUCCCAAUGCCGACAGCAGCAUACUCCUGAAAGCCCAAUGUCGCCUCUGCAGUCUCAAGUGUCUCACUGGAGCUUAGGAGCAGAGCUGGGUGGACAAACCCCCUUUCAUCUUUGUCCUCCUCCUCGGCAAGCAGCACGGAGGUGAGCAGAUGUAUGGUCCUCACUGUGAUGCAUUACCUCCCCUCCAGCCAAGAAGCGAAAGCACCAAACAGCUGGAAUGAUGAGCCAGAAUACGUUUGUAAGUUGUUUCCCUCGAGCAUUUUAGUCAUGACGAUGGAAAACCGAGCUAAAGAGAAGCCAGUCGAUAUGAAACCAACUCCUGAUGGCAAAGUCUAAACACAGAUGCCUGCUCCCUCUGCCCUCACCCCGUCAACCUACAAAACAUGGCUUCAUGUGUAAG